AACCAUUGCAUCAUGCUGGCUAUUAGUCAAUGUUAUUUUUAUUUCUGCAGGAAAUAUCAGUGAAAGCAGGUACCAAGACUUCAGGAACAGCAGAAAAAAAGAGAGCUUACUCAGAAAGGAGACAUAAGCAAGCAUCAUACUCAAGCAGCC